CAGCCCGGUCCCGCUCGUCCCACAGCGUGAGGCCGUCGCAGGUGCAGAGCUGUUUGGGGUUCUGGAAGAGCCCAGCCGCCCGCGCCACCACUCCGCAGGCCAACCUGGGCCCCGAGUUCCCCGUCAGCUUGGACAGCGCGUGGCCGCCCCGGCCCAGGUCGUCCUCACCCGCAUCCACCACCACUGAGCGCCCAAUGAUGUCCCACACCUUCAGCCGUGUGUCCUCCAUACGGAACGCUGCUCGGCCCUCAGCAUCGGCCCACACGUUGCCCAGAUCCCCGGCGUGCCGGUGCUCGUCCUGCGGCCCCCCGUGGCACUCCCCGUCAGGGUUGUAGUGGUCCCCGCAGCUCUCACAUCCCUCAGACGUGUCCCCAAACUCGUGCACGUGCAGCCCAUGUGGGCCCGGCCGCAGCCCAUCGAUGACCCCAUCCACCACGCACAGCUCCGGGGACACCUGCAGGAACCGCACCAAACCCCGCACACCGCCGGACAGCGCCGCCACCGCCGCCGUCGUGUCACCCCCUCGGGGACCCCCAGGGGACCCCGCAGGGACCCCCAUACCCCGCAGCACCGCGCGCCGCCCGCUGGAUUCCAGCAGCUCCUUCACACGCUCUGCGCCCACCUCGGCCUCCAGCAGCACCGUCUGAGUCUCGGGGCGCAGCUCCAGCAGCCGCACGCCGUGCAGCUCGACCCCCCGGACCCCGCCAUGACGGCGGACUCUGAACUCCGCGCGCUGCGCAACGCCGCGGCGCCACUACCGGCGCAGCGCAUUGGCGACACUUCCGGCGCAGAACUAAAUCGUCACAUCCGAUGCGCCGAUGUGACCACUUCCGGCGCAGCUGUUGGCAUAGAAAUAACCUCAGGGAACGCCGCGGUAGCGGCGCGGAUUCAAACGUCACUUCCGGCGCGCCGGUCGCCAUGGAAACAGAGACGCUGUAGGUCUCGUGGAGCGCGAUUCGGAG
rnacentral:lncRNA from 1 species